GUGCCACCAGCCGCGGUAACACGGGGGGGACGAGCGUCGUUCGGAUUCACUGGGCGUAAAGGGCGCGUAGGCGGACCGGAAAGUCGGUUGUGAAAACCCACAGCUUAACUGUGGGCCUGCGUCCGAAACUCUCGGUCUUGAGUAUGGGAGAGGAAAGCGGAAUUCCAGGUGUAGCGGUGGAAUGCGUAGAUAUCUGGAAGAACACCGGUAGCGAAGGCGGCUUUCUGGCCCAAUACUGACGCUGAGGCGCGAAGGUCGGGGGAGCAAACAGGAUUAGAUACCCUGGUAGUCCCGACAGUAAACGAUGGAUACUAGAUGUCGGAGGUAUCGACCCCUUCGGCGUCGCAGCAAACGCGUUAAGUAUCCCGCCUGGGGAGUACGGUCGCAAGACUGAAACUCAAAGGAAUUGACGGGGGCCCGCACAAGCGGUGGAUUAUGUGGUUUAAUUCGAAGCAACGCGAAGAACCUUACCUGGGUUUGACAUGAGCGGGCAGCCCCCGAGAUGGGGGCCCCCUCUUCCGGAGGUCC
rnacentral:rRNA from 1 species